rnacentral:lncRNA from 1 species
ACUUCCGGUUAAAAUCCAAUAUGGCGGACAUUGUACUUAAAUAAGCUUAUUUUUUAGGGAGGGUAAUUGAAAUGUGUUUUAACGUAUUGCUACUAUAAUUACAUUGUGUAUGAACCUUUCUUUGGUGCUUCUGAUGAAGACAAUGUAUAAGACAUAUGUCUUAAAAACCCUUACUUCCGGAAGUAUCCAAAAUGGCGGACAGAGAAAUAUCAAUUUUUUAUUCAAAUUUUCAACUUUCUUCAAAAUGUAAAGAAAAUGAUUUUAUUUUGUGCUGGUCAUUAAACUUUUGGCUUUAAGUUAUCCCCA